rnacentral:rRNA from 1 species
UACGAGGGGUCCUAGCGUUGUUCGGAAUUACUGGGCGUAAAGCGCACGUAGGCGGAUUUGUAAGUCAGGGGUGAAAUCCCGGGGCUCAACCUCGGAACUGCCUUUGAUACUGCAAAUCUCGAGUCCGGAAGAGGUGAGUGGAAUUCCUAGUGUAGAGGUGAAAUUCGUAGAUAUUAGGAAGAACACCAGUGGCGAAGGCGGCUCACUGGCUCGUAUCUGACGCUCAGGCGCGACAGCGUGGGGAUCAAACAGG